rnacentral:lncRNA from 1 species
AAAUAUCAAUUCUUACUAAAUUCAACAAAUGCUACUUCCAUUGGCUUUCCCAUGUCUAUAGCCAGCUAGUCUGAUACUGGCUAUAGAAGUGGGACAAUCUCUUCUUGACCUGUCUUCUUCUUUAAAGUCAGUGAGGUUGCAUCUCUAACCAUUCCACUGUAAUCACAUUUCUUAAAAAAAAAAAAAAAAAAAGACUGCCCAAGUCCUUGAGUACAUUGUACACUGUACUCUAGAAUAGGAUACAAUGACUGAUUAUGACUAAGAAUUCACUACAGAGUAUCAUAAAAAGAAGCUGUCAAGGAAACCCAGACAGGACACUGAGAUCCACAUAAGGGCUAUGUGAAGAUCCAAUUUGAUGCUUCUUUCUAGACUGAUGCUAUAGCUUUAAGGGAAGUUCUCUUCCUUUGUAAUGAAAGUAUAUUAGUUUUGAGCAUCCAGUACCUGCAUGCAAUGCAACACUGAGAUCAGAGAGAGACACCGUGGUCAACACAUACACACAUUGUUCCUAUACCAGAAUUUCCUUUGGCUACCCAAAGGCACCAAAUAGAGUCUGCUCCGGUGUAAAAAUCGAGUGAUAGGAAUCCCUCCUCCCUAGUCAGACACAGCUCAGUAGGUUC